rnacentral:lncRNA from 1 species
CGAACAUUCGAGCAUCAGCUUGUGGUCUUCAGUGGCUAAUUCGGGACUUCCAGUUGUGAAAGUGUGCAAGAAUGAUUCCAUCCACAACUCAGAGCCAGGGUUCUGUGAAUACACUUGUCUCCAGUUGUGAAAUUAUUAAACCAGGUAAU